rnacentral:rRNA from 1 species
AGUGAACGCUGGCGGUAGGCCUAACACAUGCAAGUCGAACGGCAGCACAGUAAGAGCUUGCUCUUACGGGUGGCGAGUGGCGGACGGGUGAGGAAUACAUCGGAAUCUACUUUUUCGUGGGGGAUAACGUAGGGAAACUUACGCUAAUACCGCAUACGACCUACGGGUGAAAGCAGGGGAUCUUCGGACCUUGCGCGAUUGAAUGAGCCGAUGUCGGAUUAGCUAGUUGGCGGGGUAAAGGCCCACCAAGGCGACGAUCCGUAGCUGGUCUGAGAGGAUGAUCAGCCACACUGGAACUGAGACACGGUCCAGACUCCUACGGGAGGCAGCAGUGGGGAAUAUUGGACAAUGGGCGCAAGCCUGAUCCAGCCAUACCGCGUGGGUGAAGAAGGCCUUCGGGUUGUAAAGCCUUUUUGUUGGGAAAGAAAAGCAGCAGGUUAAUACCCCGCUGUUCUGACGGUACCCAAAGAAUGAGCACCGGCUAACUUCGUG